UACGUAGGGGGGCAAGCGUUUGUCCGGAUUUAUUGGGCGUAAAGAGCGUGUAGGCGGCCUGAAAGGUCAGCUGUGAAAACUCGAGGCUCAACCUCGAGACGUCGGUUGAAACCAUCUGGCUAGAGUCCGGAAGAGGAGAGUGGAAUUCCCGGUGUAGCGGUGAAAUGCGCAGAUAUCGGGGAAGAACACCCGUGGCGAAGGCGGGCUCUCUGGGACG
rnacentral:rRNA from 1 species